AUACGGAGGGUGCAAGCGUUACUCGGAAUCACUGGGCGUAAAGCGCGCGCAGGCGGCUUGAUAAGUUGGAUGUGAAAGCCUACGGCUCAACCGUAGAACUGCAUCCAAAACUAUUUAGCUAGAGUGUGGGAGAGGAAGAUGGAAUUAGUUGUGUAGGGGUAAAAUCCGUAGAGAUAACUAGGAAUACCAAAAGCGAAGGCAAUCUUCUGGAACACUACUGACGCUGAGGCGCGAAAGCGUGGGGAGCAAACAGGAUUAGAAACCCUUGUAGUCC
rnacentral:rRNA from 1 species